CGUGACUCACUGCUACUCUCCCACUGGUCCCUUUACUGAGGCGUGUGUGUGCGUGUGUGUCAUAUGACAGACUUCUGGCUCAGCUGUCACGUGACUGCCACGUCGCUUGCGACUUUGGAGACUACUAGCCUCUAGGGGGCGAAUGUCUUUACCGCCUCUUUUCCCACUUUGGUUUCCCCGUUAGUAGCGCAUGCGCAGCAUACGACUGCCACCAGCUUUGUCUCUUGAACACUUCGUUCACCAUUUCUUCCUCCGGAGUCGGAAAGGCGCUCUUCUUUGGGUUCUUGAGAAGGUGGUCCGGAAGCUGGCGACCACGGAACAAGACAAAUUCAUAGGAAAAAUGGAAAAGCAAAAGUUCUGAUGUUUUGCUUUUGAUUUCACCAACUCCAGGUGUUUUCUUUUUAGAAAGGUUCUCUGGCUGAGGCCCUGCAAAUUAGACUGAUGAAAGACGAACGAGAAAAACAAGUUUGUUAAUAUGCGAAUCGUGUAUAUAUGUGGGAGUACUCAGAGAUAAGUAACUCAAAGGGAUGAUUAGAACUUGGGCUUAUAUAGCAUUAAAAAAGUUUUUUUUAGUAAUCUCUACACCCAACUUGGGGCUUAAACUCAUGACCCUGAGAUCAAGAGUCACACACUCUUACCAUCGAGUCAGCCAGGUGCUCCAUGGCUUAUAUAGCAUCUUAACAAAAGAACAAUAAAUGUUUAGAGAAGUGAUAAAACAAAGGAAUUGAGUUUCUAGGGCAGCAAACUGCGGGAAGGCAAAUAUAUGGGGAACUAAUGGAACAUAAAAUUAGUAAAAUUUGUCAUGGAGAUUCCACUGGUGUAGUCUCCGAGCUGGUAAGGGUAUAGAAUUAUCUCUAGUCAUUAACUUCUGUUCUUUCUGGUUGAGAGAAGAUGGGGAAUACCUUUAUGAGUUUACGUUUUGCUUUUAGGCAAAUAGGGGGAGGAAAGAAAGCUUUUUUUUAUACUUGAUUCUUCUCAGUUGCCUUCAGCUCAAAAUAAUCCUGAUGCCAAAAUGAUAUGUUUUGAAGUGGUGUGUUCUGCUACCCUUCAGGUCCCAGGGAGAUUAACACUUCAAGACAUCUCUUAUCUUGGACGUAUUCUGAUGUCCUCAAAAGAAAAUGUGACUGCAUCCAAAUGCUGUGAUGGCUCCCCAGUUGUGCAUUGUGACAUUGUGCCAACAUCAGAGAUGGAUACUACUGCAGAGUGGAGAGGUUCUGAGAAGCAGAAGCAUGUUUGACAUUAGCUGCAAUGGAACACCACCUCAAAGCCUGUCCUCUUUGAACUCUCCUGCUUGGGCCUCAGCUGCUGCAGCAAGGAAGCCUAGAUAAGGCCAUAUGGAGGAGAACUGAAACCUUUGGGCAGCAGCCCCAGCUGAACUUCCAGUUAGCAUCUGCCACCAGCUGUCAGCUUUGGGAGUGAGGUCGUUUGGACCUUUCUUCUGCACAUCACAGAAUGGGAGUCCUUUUCCAGAUGUACUCCAUGUGUGAGGUUUGGAAAAAACACGUAUUAGUUGAUAAUAUUGCAGUGUGAUGGAAAAAGAAUGGCAAAUAAGAUCUAGCAGAGAAGAAUGCCAAUAGGAUCCCUGUGAGGUGGGCAUUCCAGACAGCAAGAGGGAUGGAUGUUCCAAGAGUGGGCAAGCUUGAGGAGAGCAAAAAAGACACCUAUUAUGAUGAAGUCAUAGGUAUUGAGCUGGAAAUAAAUAAGGACAGGUGGCUAGGUCCGAAGACUAAAUAGAGAUUUCUUGUGGCAGAAAGAUGAAUACCCAAUACUUGUUAGAGGUGAUUGGUUUAGAAAGGGUUUUACCUUAUCCAGAUACUUGAAGAACCAUUUAUAUAAGAGGCAAAGAAAAGAAUGCCUAACAACACUAUUACUAAAUUAUACUUGAAUUUAAAAACAAAGCCUCUUUCAUUCUUAAAAGUACCCAUUUCAAAAGUUUACAUUGCCCACCAAACAGUCUUUAUUUUUUUAUUAAAGUUUAUUUUAUUUAUUUAUUUUGAGAGAGAGAGCAGGGGAGAGGCAGAGAGAGAUGGAGAGUGGGAAUCCCAAGCAGGCUCCACACUGUCAGUGCAGAACCUGAUGCAGGGCUCAAACUUACAAACUGAGAUCAUGACCUGAACCAAAAUCAAAAGCCAGACACUUAACUGACUGAGGUACCCCUCAGUAGCAGCAGUUUUUAAAGGAUAAUUUGGACCAUGCUCAAAUAGAGCUCUGCAAAUUUCUUAUUGCACUUUUCUUUACUUGAGAGAGAAACUGUUUGCACGAACAUGAAACAAACCUAAAACCUGGACCUUCACAGAGCUUUCACUCACCCAAAUAAAUGCAUUUAUUUGUUAUUCUUAGCACUUAACCUAAUAAUACCCCCUGGGUUAUAUACAACAUUCUUCUGAAUAUCUACAAUGUAGCAGUUAUUUCUGAACAUUUACUCCUGGAAAUUCACAGGAUGAACAAGUUUGCAUGCCGUAGGAUUUCUGAAAACCAUCUUGGCAAAAAUAAAAUAAAAAUAAGUGAGGUAGGGCACCCGGGUUGUUCAGUCAGUUAAGCAUCGGACUCUUGGUUUUGGCUCAGGUUAUAUUCUCAUGGUUUGUGAGUUCAAGCCCCACGUUAGGCUCUGCACUGAUAGUCCGGAGCCUGCUUGGGAUCCUCUCUCUCCCUUUCUCUCUACCCCUUCCCUGCUUGUUCUCUCCCUCUCUCUUUCUCAAAAAAAAAAAACUUAAAAAGUGAGGUAAUCAUUUCACAGUAUAUACAUAUGUCAAAUCAUUAUGUUGUACAUCUUAAAGGAAUACAGUGUUCUAUGUUGAUUAUAUCUCAGUAAAACUGGGGGAAAAUGAAUGAGGGCUUUGGAAUAAAAUUGGAACGUAAUUUUACUAGCUAAGUAUUUAGUCUGUCUUGGCUUAACUACGGUGACAGUAUUCUAAUAUUAACCUCAAUGAAUCCUAUUCCAAGAAUAUGGUAGUUAAUGGUAAAUAGGGCUGGAAGGAAGUUCCUCAUAGGUGGAGAUUUUUACGAAACCAAUUAGAGUCUCAAAGUUCUAUUUUUCUAGAAACAUCAAAAACUAUCAGGAUGUGUUGAAUUUUGAUAGUGACUCUUGAAGAUGUUUAGAAAUGAAAUGCACUGGUUCUUUAGUUGUAUGUAUAUUAUGGUGGAUUUAAUGAAAAGAAUCUUCUCAGGUCAAAAGCAUAUUUUCCUCAAAUCUAUCUUAGUUCCUCAACUACCUUGACAUCCCAAUUAAGAGCAGGGAGAAAAUCAAGGAGAAGACACAGGGAAAAUAAAAACUAAUACAAAAGGAAUACAGUGAUGUUUUACAUUUGUAUCCCAGCAUUCUUCAUUUGCCCUCAUUUUUUGCUGACAAUAAUAAAAUCUGAAGCAUGCAGUCUCACAUAGUGAGUAGCUCAGUCACUGUAACCUAUUAUGGUAAUACCUGCUCAUAAUUCAUCAGGGGACCACAAGAAAUACAGAACUACAUGCUCACAAAAACAGCAGCUAGCCUUUAAAAAAGAAGCAAAAAAAAAACCCAAAAACAAAAACAAAAAAAGGAAAGGAAACAAAAUGUAUGGGGUCAUUUCUUCUCCAGAGAAUAAAAAAAGACUAAAAUAUAUCAACUGAUGGCAGAAUAUGAGAAUUCAUUACUCUUCUGUAAAAUUUACAAAAAUAUUUGCAUGCUAAAACCUAUCAGAGUUUAUUAACAAGCUGUCAUUUAUUGAGCACCUACUAGAUACAGAGCACUUUUACAUGUCAGUUGGGGUUACCAUUCACAGUUCUAAGCCAGAGUAGCAGGGACUGUGGUCAUAGGCAUACUUGUAUGUAUGUAACAUAACUGUUACAACAACUCCUUUGGAAAUAAUACAAAACCCAAUGCAAACUGGCUUAAGAAAAAGAAUUUAUUGGGUUACACAAUGCAAAAUUAUUUUCAAUAAAAAAUAGUUUUGAUUUUUUUUCCUUUUUUCUUAAUGUUUGUUUGUUAAUUUGUUUAGAGUGUGCACAAGGAGCAAAGGGGCAGAGAGAAGGAGAGACAAUCCUGCACAAGUGGGGAAGGGGCAGAGAGGAGACAGAAUCCCAAGCAGGCUCUGUGCCAUAAGUGCAGAGCCCAAUGUGGAGCUCGAAGUCAUGAACUAGGAGAUCAUGACCUGCGCUAAGAUCAAGAGCCAGAUGCUUAACUGAUUGCACCACCCAGGUGCCCCAAAAAUAGUUUUUGAAAAUAAAUUAUUAUUAUUGUUUCAAUGUC